rnacentral:rRNA from 1 species
GUGGGGAAUAUUGGACAAUGGGCGCAAGCUUGAUCCAGCCAUGCCGCGUGAGUGAUGAAGGCCUUAGGGUUGUAAAGCUCUUUCGUCAGGGAAGAUAAUGACGGUACCUGAAGAAGAAGCCCCGGCUAACUUCGUGCCAGCAGCCGCGGUAAUACGAAGGGGGCUAGCGUUGCUCGGAAUCACUGGGCGUAAAGCGCACGUAGGCGGCUUUCUAUGUCAGGGGUGAAAUCCUGGAGCUUAACUCCAGAACUGCCUUUGAUACUGGAGAGCUUGAGUUCGGGAGGGGUGAGUGGAACUGCGAGUGUAGAGGUGAAAUUCGUAGAUAGUCGGAGGAACACCAGUGGCGAAGGCGGCUCACUGGCUCGAUACUGACGCUGAGGUGCGAAAGCGUGGGGAGCAAACAGGAUUAGAAACCCCUGUAGUCC